rnacentral:piRNA from 1 species
UAGAAACAGUAAGGGUGAUCUGCGGGU